rnacentral:misc_RNA from 1 species
ACAUUUGCAGUUCACUGAUACUAGGGUCUGCUCUUCCCAAACCAAAAGGGUGUGUUACUUUGGUAAUUUUCAGUUGUUUAUAGUUGAUGUUGAAUCAACGAUUAUCUGCCCUGGCCUUGGGUUUGAUGUUCACACAACAUAUUGUGAAGCUUGAAGAAAUGGAAAAUGAUGAUUUGCUUGUGGAUGAAUUUGAAAAUCAGGGAUGAAGAUGGAUGAGGAGGAAUCGUUGUCCAGUUCUAGAUUGAAACAGGAAGCUGUGACACAUUAUCUGUUUUGACAGAAGCUGCAAGGCGAGGACAAUUCACUGUUGAUUUUGGUAAAAUAUGAGGUCAUUUCUUUACAUCUAUGAACAGAGAGCAGGUACUUGUAAAUCUUUGGUUAUUUGGUCUAGGGCCAAUUUCCUUUUGUUGUGGGAUCUAUUCCUAGUGGCAUGUAAUCUUUGAUAUGCUUUGUGUAUGUAAAUGGGGGUUAUUAAGAAUUAGACAAUGUAUACUUAGAUUACAUCUCAAAUUCUCAAUUGAUAUGAAUCAACUGUUUUUUCCACUCUGUUAGGAGCAUGCUGAUCUGUAUUGCACAUUGCUAGCCUUAUGUAAAAAAAAAUGAUCAGGAAGCUGAACAGUUGAAAAUUUUUUUCUAUUUUAUAUUAGCA